AAAGUCGUAACAAGGUUUCCGUAGGUGAACCUGCGGAAGGAUCAUUACAAAUCGUUUGGUGCUGUGUGUUGUGUGGGUGUGCUGGGUUGUUGCUGGCUAAUUAGUUAAUUAAUUGGCUGGCCAGCCCGUCACCACGCACGCCGGCAACAUUAGCACAGGCCCAGACCAAAAGUAAUCUUUUGGAAACGGGCCUGAUGUCUACGCUUGUGGGUUUGGCAGAGUUAACAAUGACUGUAAACAAAUACAACUUUUAACAAUGGAUCUCUUGGCUCUU
rnacentral:misc_RNA from 1 species